GACGAACGCUGGCGGCAGGCCUCAAACAUGCAAGUCGUAGGGGGUGCAGCAAUGCAUCACCGGCGGACGGGUGCGUAACGCGUGGGAAUAUACCUUUUGGUUCGGAACAACUGCGGGAAACUGCAGCUAAUACCGAAUGUGCCCUAACGGGAAAGAUUUAUCGCCAAAGGAUUAGCCCGCGUAGGAUUAGCUAGUUGGUGAGGUAAUGGCUCACCAAGGCUCCGAUCCUUAGCGUUCUGAGAGGAAGAUCAGCCACAC
rnacentral:rRNA from 1 species